rnacentral:tRNA from 1 species
AUUACGGUGGUCUAGCGGUUAGAACGCUGGCCUUGUAAUCCUGGGGUCCCGGGUUCGAUUCCCGGUGGUGCUC